UCCCUGAUGGUCCACUGGUUGGGACUAGGUGCUCUCACUGCCAUAGCCCAGGUUCAAUUCCUGGUUGGGGAA
rnacentral:tRNA from 1 species